rnacentral:lncRNA from 1 species
AUGCUACCAAAAAAGUAAAAAAGCAAUAUCUCUCUCCUACAUUAACCCUAAUCUCUUAUCUGGCUUCACACAUGUUCCAUUUUUCUCAAGUAGGAUGCUCCAAAAUGUUGCGAACGGACAUCAAUCGAAGGUCGUUUCCCAAGUUUUUGAAGAUUGAUGCUCAUCUUAAUUUAUGUGAGUCACAAAAGAAAGUCAAGGUAACAACAUGCAAGUCAUGAAACUUGAUGGGUGAAUAUGGUAGUUGCUGCCUCAUCACAGUUAAACCACCAGGCAUCUUUGUAUUCACCGCUGAUGGAACUAGCUGGUGAUUUUAGGUUUAGCGCUUUAUGCUUGCCGGUUAAUUCAGGUUCAAUGCUUCUAUACCAUCAUUGGAAAUUUCGAUUUCCGGAUUGCUAGCCAAGUAAAGAGUAAUGAAAUUAUUUGAUAAUUAGUAAUUGACGAUAGAAUUGGUCUUCCUUUUCCAUGCUUUGUGCUAAACAUGUUGCCUAAACAACCCAGUUAUGGGCUUAUCCAACUUUUUGCUUCUUAUGUUUCUUCUUGGG